UACGGGGGGGGCAAGCGUUGUUCGGAAUUACUGGGCGUAAAGGGCUCGUAGGCGGCCAACUAAGUCAGACGUGAAAUCCCCAGGCUCAACUUGGGAACUGCGUCUGAUACUGGAUGGCUUGAAUUCGGGAGAGGGAUGCAGAAUUCCAGGUGUAGCGGUGAAAUGCGUAGAGAUCCGGAGGAACACCAGCGGCGAAGGCGGCGUCCUGGACUGGUACUGACGCUCAGGAGCGAAAGCGUGGGGAGCGAUCCGG
rnacentral:rRNA from 1 species